rnacentral:sRNA from 1 species
AUUUCAAUGUGUUAUAAUGACAAUGUAGUUUUUGUAAGGAUUUCAAAAGUUUUUGUUCCAAUGUAAUAAACACUUCUUGAGCCACCUGCAACAAAUUGCACUAUAUAUUUCGAGCAAAAGCUCAAGGAGGAUGCUAUAAAUGGCACAAGGUACAGUUAAAUGGUUUAACGCAGACAAAGGUUUUGGAUUCAUCACUUCUGAAGAAGGUAACGACGUAUUCGUACACUUCUCAGCAAUCCAAACAGACGGUUUCAAAACAUUAGAAGAAGGUCAACCUGUUUCUUUUGAUGUUGAAGAAGGAGCUCGUGGACCUCAAGCAGUAAAUGUUGUAAAAGCAUAAUUACUACUUGCCCUAAAAGCAGUGCGUUGUCACUGCUUUUUUU